CAGCGUCACAAGUGGGGAUCACGAUUAUUGGGCCUAAAGCGUCCGUAGCCGGUUUGGUAAAUCUUUAGUGAAAUCGGCCAGCUUAACUGGUCGGCGUGCUAGAGAGACUGUCAAACUUGGAACCGGGAGGAGUUAGGGGUAUGUAAGGGGGAGCGGUAAAAUGCAAUAAUCCUUUACAGACCACCUGUGGCGAAGGCGCCUAACUAGAACAGAUUCGACGGUGAGGGACGAAAGCUGGGGGAGCGAACCGGAUUAGAUACCCGAGUAGUCC
rnacentral:rRNA from 1 species